rnacentral:rRNA from 1 species
CCUAGUAACGGCGAGUGAAGCGGGAACAGCUCAAGACCGAAUCUGGCUUUUUUCACAAGGGCCAGAGUUGUAGUCUAUGGAUGGUCUUUUGUGUCGCAACUCUUUACCAAGUCCUGUGGAAUAAGGCACCAGAGAGGGUGAUAGUCCCGUCUGUUUAGAGGUGUGCGGCCGUGUAAUUGGCUAUUCGAGAGUCGGGUUGUUUGGGAAUGCAGCCCUAAUGGGGAGGUAUGCACCUUCCAAGGCUAAAUAUUCAGGCAAGAGACCGAUAGCGAACAAGUACCGUGAGGGAAAGUUGAAAAGCACUCUGGAGAGAGAGUGAAAAGUACGUGAAACCAUUGGUAGGGAACCGCUUGCACGGUAUACUGCUCUGCGUUGCUUUCGGGCGGCGCAGACGUCCACCAUCAGUUUGGAUUGCCGUAGAAGCGGCGGGCAAAGGUAGGUUGUCUUUGGAUGGCUGUUAUAGGGCCCGUUGCGUUGCGGUGGUCUGGACUGAGGCCCAGAGCAAUCUCUUUUUAUGGAGUGGCCGGCUGGCUGUGGGGCCUGUUUGCGGGCGUGGUAGAGACAGCGUGCUGACUCUAUGAUGCGUGCAGACAGCUACUCUGCAUCACCGGUACUUGCUACGGAUGGUGGAAAGUGCUGAACAAGCGACCCGUCUUGAAACACGGACCAAGGAGUCUAACUUAUACGCGAGUCACUGGGUGACAAACCCACGGGCGAAAUGAAAGUGAGGACUUUGUCCCUGGUACGAUCUUUACUUGAUAAAGUGCAGUAUCCGCCGGCUACUCGUUCUCAUAUGGAUAGGUAGACUGAGCGCGAGCGUAUAGGCUAGGACCCGAAAGAUGGUGAACUAUACCUGGGUAAGGCGAAGCCAGAGGAAACUCUGGUGGAGGCUUGUAGCGGUUCUGACGUGCAAAUCGAUCGUAGAACCUGGGUAUAGGGGCGAAAG